UGCUAUGAGCCUUCAUUAUGCUAUGAGCAUUCAUUAUGCUAUGAGCCUUCACUGUGCUAUGAGCCUUCACUAUGCUAUGAGCCUUCACUGUGCUAUGAGCCUUCACUAUGCUAUGAGCCUUCACUGUGCUAUGAGCCUUCAUUAUGCUAUGAGCCUUCACUGUGCUAUGAGCCUUCAUUAUGCUAUGAGCCUUCACUGUGCUACAAGCCUUUGCUUUCCUGCACUUCACUGUGCUUCAUCAGUGCACUUGCCAAGCUAACCCUGCUACAGCAGCACACGGGAAUGAAUGAUAAACAGGGUACAACUGGCCCCCAAACUGGGAGAAAAUGCUUCUUAACAUUAAUAUGACCCACUGGCACCUGCACAACAGCUUUUCUUGUUGACAGAGAAUGCUGCAUGUGAAGGGCCCAUUGGUCUGCCUGUCUCACUGUCAUUCAGUGUGGUUUUAUUCCUCCGACAGACCGCCAUCCCUCACCCCAGACACACACAGCCCAGAGACGGAGCCUGAGGAACCGGAUGAGCGAGAGUACAUGGAAGAAAUGGAACUGGUGAGGGCUGCCAACUUAGAAACGGGUGAAGUGGAUUCUGUAGAGUCUGUGGACGAAUGGCCAGAAAUAGAACAAGCCCUUCAAAUAAGCUGUAUGGAUGAAACAGCUCCCUCCAGCUAGAGAGAAAGAGAGGGAGGGAGAGAGAGAAAGAGAGAGAUCUAGAGUGGGAGAGUGAGCGAGAGAUACAGAGAGAGCGAGAAACAAAAGCAGAGGGAAAUCGAGACAGAGGAUUGAUCCCAGAGCUAAAUUGCAACAAAUAUAUAUUUAUGUAAAAUCCAAUAAUUGUAAGGUAUGAAUAAAUUCUGAAAAAUGUUGUAUCUGUAUUUCAGUGACAAUGCUUUCAUUUCUGUAGACCAAUAAAAGUGUUUUAAUAACGAGGUGCUUAAAACACCUUGUCAGCA